UACGGAGGGUGCAAACGUUGCUCGGAAUCAUUGGGCGUAAAGCGCACGUAGGCGGUUUGUUAAGUCGGAUGUGAAAGCCCCGGGCUCAACCCGGGAAGUGCAUACGAAACUGGCAAGCUUGAAUAUGGAAGAGGGUCGCGGAAUUCCCGGUGUAGAGGUGAAAUUCGUAGAUAUCGGGAGGAACAUCAGUGGCGAAGGCGGCGACCUGGGCCAAUAUUGACGCUGAGGUGCGAAAGCGUGGGGAGCAAACAGGG
rnacentral:rRNA from 1 species